AAAUGGGCUUCAGAGUCUGAUGGAUCUGGGUGACUGGGCAAGUUCUUUAGCUUGUCAAACCUUCAUUUCUCUAAUUUAUAACAUAAGGACAGUACCUUCUUCCUGUCAAGGUUGAGGCAAGCAUUAGUGAGAAACGUCUCAAGGCCUGGUUCACAUUAAAGGUCAAAAAAGAGAGAAAACAUCACUGUUCUCUUCAGCAGAACUUUUGUCAGUGUGAUCGAGAAUUGUCUCAAGUGACAAGUGAGCUGACCAGGGAACCCUGGGUGGCAGGUACUAUUGGCACCAUUUUCCAGAUAAAGAAAAUGAAGUUCUAAGCAGUCAAAUGACAUGUCAAGAUCACCCAACUGAUAUGAAAGGCAAGAUUCAAGGAUCACACCAACUAGAG
rnacentral:lncRNA from 10 species